GGGCGGCUAGAGGGAGGGACGGAGGCUCUUCAGGGUGGGCAACAGAGAGUCGAUGGAAUCGACCUUCCGCGGCCCCUCCACGGGGAGAGGAGAGGGGAAGCGUUUGUCGGAGGGUUGACCGUGUCCCUUCUAGUGCUUAAUCUGUCCAAGUAAAAACAAUGACAACGAGGGCCUAGAUAUUUGCUAAUUUUUAUUGCAAUGACUGUUCAUUUAGAAUAAAAUGUGAUACUUGCGUAUGUAUAGUAUCUCUGGAGGGACCCACAGAACUCGGUACAAACCAGGGGUAACACCUCUCUUACAAGUUAUUUCGAGGGUUAGCUGAGAUCACAGUGACCAAGGGCUUGCACAACGUCUGUCGAGUAUAUUUUGACAACGGAAAGAGCAGGGAGUGUUAACUGCUGCUUCAAGCCCGGGUAUCCUAUCACCUGCAAGGGAGUGAAUUCUGCCUUCUCUUGAGCUGCGUGACCUGAGACUCCCACAGGUCUCUGACCAGUGCCUUCCAGGUGAUCAGCACGCACAUACUGUUCAGUAAGUUUCAGUCGGACCCCACUGGCCACGGCAUGCCUGCGGUCAUUCCUAAAG